rnacentral:other from 1 species
CAUCCUCUGCGGUGUCCGUGAGCUGACUUUGUAAUCCCUUGAGCCUUAGUACACUAGACAGGGGAUCUGAUUCUCACCGCGGUGUGCAUGUCCGCCUUGAGCGGAAAGCCUGAACGGUGACAGGGAUUCCCACUUGAACCUGCCGGUUCAAGGUCUCAAGUCAGCAGCGGCACAGGCGGAGGAUGC